AAUAAUUUUUGGAUACUAUAUCCGAAUUUUUAGGAUGCAUUUUGUUUAUUUAAAAUGCAAUAUUUGUUAUGCGAUAUGUAUGGAAGGGAAAUAAGUGGGUUAUAUUAGUUUGAUUAACCAAACAUAGCCUUGAGGUUAGCAAGCUUAUAAGUUAAAUGGGAAAGCACGUGCUAGGAAUUUUAUUUAUUUGCUGGUUAUCACGAAGGAAAACAAGCAUGAGCUGCCUCUUUGUGGGAUUAGUAAGUUGACACCUCACUUGUAUAAUAGGAGCUGUCCUUAUAGUAUGCAUAUAGACUUGUUACUCGGUUGGGCAGUAAGGAAUGUUAUCCUAUGAAUUAAAUGUUCCCAACAUUCCCUAAUUUUUCCUUCUCUCUCAAAUGAUUCCGCUCCUUGCUAAGGCAAAUACGGAACUCCUCUCCAUCUAAUCACAAUUGAGUUACUCCUUAGCAAUCUCCAGUACUUAUAUUCCGCGGGCACAAGAAAAUAAUUUGAAAGCUUCAUAAUAUCCUUGAGCAGCUGGGAUUAAGUUGCAGAAUAGUAAGAAAUUAUAAGCAAUCAAGUGAAAGGUAUGUGAAUUAUUUUACUAAGUUUUGUUAGCUAUGAUGUUAGUAUUGAGCAAAGUGAUUGUGAAUUAGAACAAAACAGUUGGUUAUAAAACAAAACAAAAACUGUUAGUUUAUUGGUUGUUUGAGUAUUCAUGUUUUGUUUGUGAAAUUGACUGCUAUGAAUUUAAUUUAGGCACAAAGAGAUAAGUGGGCUGUGGAGUAAUAAGGAGAAUAAUAUGAGUUUAUAAUAUAAACCUAUGGCUAUGAAUCUAGUAACACAAAACUGUGCACACUACGUGUUUGUUAAAAGUCCCAAGUGGACUGUAUUGAUUAGAAAUCAAUUACUAGAUAAAAUCAAAAACUGGGACAAAGUGGUAUGCUAUAUGAGUUUAUAAUCAGAGUAAAUAAGCAUGCUAGUUUGAAAUGAAACUCAAUUAUAGCCAAAGGAAAAACAGAGUAUGUCAAUGCUCAUGUAAGUGCUGUUUUGUGCAGUCAACUGAAACUGAAAUGGAAGUGCUUCAAUUUCUACAAAUAUUAUUAUUAUAUGAUAGAUGUAAUAUAUCUAAAAAGGAUAUAGAUGAACAUUUGAAUUGAAGCAACAAACUAGGGAAAUAGGCACAUAGCUGCUGCCUAUGGCAGCAGCAGUAUCAGUGAUAUGGUUUAGGUGAGAGUUUGUUUUAAGUUUUCAAUCGGCAAGCUUAGUGGUUUAAAUAACUUAGUUACUAUUUUAUUCAAGUUGGUAACUAUAUUACCUAUAUUAUCUCCAAAAUUGUAGUAUAUUAACUACAAGUUAGAAAUUGGUUGAAGGGCAGAGCAUGGCAGCAGCAGCAGUUUGCAACAGCCAUCAACCAAGAGAUAGUGGGUGUGGGUUGUGGCUGCAAGACAACUACAGCCAUAGCUAAUAAGUGCACUAAAGGAAUAAGCUACUGCUGUAUAGCAGCCAUGAACAACAAGUAGUAACGAGUCCCAACUUAUAGAGAUUUGAGCUGGGUAUAUGAUGGCUACAUAUUAGUUUAUAAAAGUAGUGAAGAAUUGUUUAUAAAUCUUUAACAAACAAUCCCAUGAGUUAUAAAAAAAAAAACUAAUUAAGAAAUGGGAUAGAAUAGCUGACUUGGACAGCUGCAGAACAAUGGCUGGGCUGGGGGGCUUUCAUUUGAGCAAUUCGACGGUAUAGUUGAAUGGUUUUACGAAUUUAAUUAGCAUUCUAUUUAAAUAGGAAGUAUGUAAACUUCUAUGCUUUCAAAGAAUGGCAUAAUAAGGUGUGUAAUUGGAGCUAAUUAUCGAGCAAGGGGGAGGCAAGCUGCUGCACAUUUGCAGCAACAGUUGUUAGCUAACUGCUAAUGCAGUGUAAAGCCACACUAAAAUUUAUUAAAUCCCACAAAGUCAAACAUAAGUGACUAAUAGCAUAAAAAAAUGCUAAGAAACUGUUAGUAUAUUUAAGUGAGCUACUUAACUCACUUAGUUAAAUAGAGGAAACAAAAGGAUAAUUAACAAGCAAAAUUUAACCUCAAUAGUAAGAGGUUGCUAAGCCAACUAAAUUACGCGAGAGAAUUGUUAAAGCAUCUAUAAAGGCUGCAAGAUAUAUUUAGCCAAAGAGGGUUAUUUUGACAUAACUAAGAAACGCUAUAAGUCGAAUGAAUAAUUUGACAAUAUAAUUUGCAAAGCAGAUUGGGAACUAAAAGUUCUACCCUUAUGAUAAACAAUCAUACUUAAUACAUGAAAUAUCUUACGUAUUCACCUUGAAUACCUAAGUUAUAAAGAAGAUUGCAAAGUAUACUCAUGGCAAGAAAGAAGAAAAAGGAAUAUAAACUAAAGUCAUGAAAAUUCAUGAACAUGGAUUAUGUCAGACCCUAUAAAAGAAAGAAAAGGCUAUUGUAAGAACAUGGAUGAGGUAUUUGAAAAAUGUAUAGAAAUAUCUCAAGCAUAAACUAAAAACAUUAUCACUAUGAGGUUUUUGACUUCUCCUUGGCCUUCAGUAUACACCUUGGGUACAUGGGCGUCAUCUCCCUUUGUGACUUGUUCAUAAAAAGAAACUUUCAAUAAGAAAAGGGUGUAUGAUAGAUUUGAAUGUGGCUUCGAAGGAAAUAAUGCAGACGUUUGGCUUUUCGAUAUUUGGAUUUGAUUAAUUAUUCAAUGCAUAUCUACUAUUAAAUACAGUGUUGUUUUGGAUGGUGAAAAACUUGAUGCCUUCUGUCCUAACAAAGGAUUGGGUGGGUAAAUACCUUUUCUGUACUUGUUCAAUAUGUUUCCUGAAAGUCUAUCCUUUGAUAAACUGGGCGGUAGAUAGUUUAUGGUUCCUCAUGUUAAAAUUUGAGUUAAACAAGUGGAUAACUCAUCAUAAUAGACAAUGAGAUUAAAGACUGGAAAAGUCCACUGAUUUGUAAGUGUUUCCCCAAGAAGUGACUCAAGAUACUUUAGUUGGCCCGUGCUCUUGGAUUUUGACAGGAAGCUCCUUGAGUUCUGCCAAGGAAAUGAAGUGGUAACUUUGCAAGAGAGACUCGGUGUCUCAACAACAUUGGAAGUUGCUACUAGUGGGAGACUAUGAAGAAGAAUGCCUAUUGAUUGAUGGUCCCCUAUCUAUACUGAGGAGGUUUCUUAUUGUGAAGAGGGUGUAGAGAAGCAUGAUAAAAAGUAAGGUGAAGAGGGGGUUUCUUAGUCAAGUGCUGCAUAGAUGGAAGAAUUCAACUAUGAAGCCACAAUCAUACAAAUUUUCAGCAUGGUUGUGUAUUGAAAGAAGUCACAGAAAUUAGCUAAGGAAUGGGAAGAUGCUUGAGACAUGGGAAGACUUUGCUCUCUAUUUCCGUAAUAAUGGUAGUUUAUCCACGUUAGCUCUCAAGCUUUCCUGUUUUUUUUCAUAAACCAUAAUCUCCAUUAUUGCAUACUAAUUUAUCUCGGCUUUAUCUCUUGACUGAUUUCUAGUGUUAAGGGUUGCAUGGUACCAGUUGCUGCAAAUACAUAUUCAUUUAUUUGGUUGGUCAUGUUUAUGACCUGCCUUUCAUGGUUUUUUCAGGAUAUAUUGAACUGAAGAACAUAGGAUCCUGUAAUGACUUUUCGUCAAAAAUGGAGUCAUGAAAAUAAUGAGGUAUACACCUGGUAAAUUCCCUCUGAAUCAAUUGCCUGAAUAAAUUUGUCUGGAAUGUGUUAGAUGUAUUGAAGUAUGAUGCAAUGUUCUGGAUUGUGAUUAGGGCGUCUGUCUGCUGAUAAAUUUGAUGAGUCAUUAGUCUUAGGCUGUUGGUCACUUGUCCUUCGUCAUGUGCCAUCAGGCAUAGGGCUAUGGGUCGAACGAUGAAUGCCCAACACGUGGCGGCUCAUUGUUUACAGGAAAAUUUGCUGGCCUUUCUUCAUCUUCUCAUGUAGAGUCCUCCAAACUAUUAUUCUUCCAUUGAACAAAUAUUUGAACAAUUGAUGGCGCCUUUCUUCUGUUAACAUGUCAUUCCAUAGUCUAAUUCAACUUGUAUAACAUUUAUUCUGUUAUAAUUGACAGUCUUGCUCUGUUAUUUUCAGUAUUCUUUUGCUCAACUAAGUAAAUUUUAUUAAAGAAAGAACAAUUACUCUUCAAACUUACAUUGCAAUUUCGUAAGAUUAUCAGUUAAUAUCUCCACCAUACUCCUAUCCACAUACCCCUUGCAAUAUCUCCUUCUUCUAGAUUCUUUUCAAAAGCAAGGGAAUCACUUGCACCAUUAAUUUAAAAAAUUAAGAAAAGAAAAAAAGCGACUCUAAAUAAGUUGAUUGAUACUUAAUUUUGUCAAACAUGAAUGGCUAUAAUAGGGAUACUAUGUGGUUAGUCUGAUCAAUCCAUUUGAGAUAACCAUAGUUUCUAUUUGGAGCAUCUUUAUCGACCUCUAAACUCGGAAUAAAACUCCUCCUAUUUGCUAGUGAAUUCUAGAAUGCUAGGUUCUACGCUGAUCUUCGUUCUUCUCGCUUGAACCUCUAGGAUUGCCUGAUAUAUAGUUUUAUCAUCUCCUACAUUGGUUGCAGAACUUGCUCUAUGAGGAAAUAUGGCAAAUGAGGGGUAAUUGAGGUUUGUGUGCUUUCGGUUGCAACUCCAGUUAUUUCGCCCUCCCUAGGACAGAACUCACUUGCCUUUUAGUAUAGUUGAGACCACACAAGAACUUAACGUAAUCUUGGGAAUCCAUGUCGUAUAUCAAUCCAGGCUAUAUUUCUUUGUUCGGAUUGACAUGGCCUGCCCCAAAAUCAAGAGGAGUGGUAAAAAGUCAUGUCCCUUGGUCUUUAAGAAUCGCGUGUGUAUUGCCUGUGGUAAUUGCGGUGGUCAUCAAAGUUGAUCGGAUGGCUGCAGGAUUCUAGUCAUGGUGAACUGCUUUCAACAGUGUUGUUACCCCUGCAACAGAGGGGGAUUUCCGUCAUCUGUGCUGCUGGAAAUUUUGGACCAGAUGCUUACUCAAUAGUCAAUGGAGCACCAUGGAUUACAACAGUAGGAGCUGGCACUAUUGAUCGGGAAUUUGUGGCAACGCUGCAACUGGGAAAUGGGGAAACUGUGGAAGGAAUAUCAUAUUUUCCAGAGAGCGUUUACAUCACCAAUUCACCUCUAUAUUAUGGGAAAAGCAAUGUAAACAAAUCAAUAUGCAGAGCUUCAGCGCUAGAUCCAAAAGAGGUUGCUGGAAAGGUUACCUUAUGUGAUACUAGCACUACUCUUGGUAUUGACCAGCAGAUCGAUGAAAUUGUCAGGGCAGGUGCAUAUGCCGAAAUAUUAUUGACGGACACAUUGACAACUUUAAAAGAAGAUGCUGACUCAUCCAUAUUCUCAUCCAUUCCCCCAAUGCUUCUGCAGAUCAGCACAAAACCUGCACAAGAAAUUGUCAGGGCAAAAGAGGUUGCUGAAAACCUGUACAAAACCUGCAUGGAGGGAAUGUACGAGAAUAUGAUGAGUCAACAUAUGCUUCUAAAGUUGCCAAUGUGUUCGUCAGUAAUAUUCCGACAUAUGCACGACAAUUUCAUCGAUCUGCUGGUCAAUAUCAAGAGUAGUGCUAGUAUCACAUAAGACCACCUUUCCAGCAACUUCUUUUGGAUCUAGCGUUGAACCUCUGCAUAUUGAUUUGUUUACAUUCCUUUUCCCAUAAUAUAGAGGUGAAUUGGUGAUGUAAAUGCUCUCUGGAAAGUAUGAUAUUCCUUCCACAGUUUCCCCAUUUCCCAGUUGUAGCGUUGCCUCAAAUUCCCGAUCAAUAGUGCCAGCUCCUACUGUUGUAAUCCAUGGUGCUCCAUUGACUAUUGAGUAAACAUCUGGUCCAAAAUUUCCAGCAGCACAGAUUAUGGAAAUCCCCCUCUGUCGCUGAAAGUACUGCAAUGGCUAUGACAUCCUUGAAAUAAGGUGCCCGCCUGAAGCCCAAAGACAAGGACAAGAUAUCUACCCCGUCCACAAUUGAUUGGUUCAUUGUAGCCAGUAAGUCGCUUGCAGCAAUGUUGCGAAGUGUGUCUGUCCAGCCAACCUUGUACAUGGCAAUACGUGCUCUUAGUGCCACCCUUUUGGUUGUCCCACUGGCGUAACCAAAAUGACUCGCACCGUGUACAUAAAUACCUGCAGCUAUAGAUGAUGUGUGAGUUCCAUGUCUACAGAAAUCUCGUGCUGAUUCGAAGUCACGGUCCUCGGAGAUUCUUCUACCUGCAGCUACAAGUCCUUUGUUAAAAGAUCAAGCUCCAAUCAGUUUCCUGUUGCAGAGAGAAUGGGUAAAAGUUGUACCAUUCCCACACAUCCCUUUCCAUCUAACUGGAACCGGUUACAUCCCCUUGUCCCUAAAGCUCUAACUUUCUGGCCAUAUUCCCGUGUCGACCCAAUGAUCACGUUUUUGCCGUAAGAUGCAGUAGGCCAUAUGUCAGCGGUAUGACUUAGGCCAAGAAACUUAGGCAAGUGGAUUGUGAAGAGCUUCCCGAAGGACUCUUCAUAUGUCGCCAAAUUAGAAGGGAGCUUCUCCAGCUGAGAUAGUUGAGAAGGCGUGAGCCGUGCACUAAACCCAUGCAUGACAUGGCCGUAUGAGUAGACCAACUUCUCUUUGUCAUCGAAGCGAUAUGGUGGAAACGACUGUAGGAUGUUUUGGUGCCAUAACUCUUCAGUUGUAAAAAUUUCUGGUUUGUGGGAAUGGUCCAUGUGUAUGAUGUAAGUUUGGUAUUCUUCAGGUUUGGGCGACACUUUGUUGAGCCCAGGUAACAAGAACAAUACUAGGUAGAAAAUUAUUGUGCUGCGUAAAAUGUUUCCUAUCUCGUUGAAAUGGAUUUGUUUAGCCAUGGUAGCUAUAGCAAUGAAAUGAAGUGGGAAUGUGGGAUAGUUUUUUCAACUUGCAGAUUUAUCCUACUUAUAUAGUGGAGUCGGGAGUGUGAGCACAAUGGAAUCCAAUAUAUGUGUAUAUAUAAAUACAUAUUUGUGGGGACCCUUUAGGAUUUAUGCUCAUGAUGACAGAUUUUUAUUUGAUUUUCCUCUCAAUAAGUUUGUCAUUUAAUGACCUUAAAUAUGAAACUGAUCCUAAAUUUGGUAUUGUUCUGUGUUCUACGUAUUCUGACCAUGCUAAAUUUUUUUUGCUACAGCAUACAAGUCUAGAGACUUUCCCUUUCCCUUUUUGAUAUUAUAGUAAUGGUUUCCACUUUCCCUUUUUGAUAUCAUAUCAAUAACAUCAUAAUGUUUAUUUUAUAAUAUAUUUUAGAUUUAUAAUAUCGAGUUCCCUCCAUGCUUCUGCAGAUCCGCACAAAACCUGCACAAGAAAUUGUCAGGGCAAAAGAGGUUGCAGGAGAGCCUGCACAAAACCUGCAUGGAGGGAAUGUAUAAGAAUAUGAUGAGUCAGCAUCUGCUUCUAAAGUUGCCAAUGUGUCCGUCAGUAAUAUUCCGGCAUAUGCACGAUAAUUUCAUCGCUCUGCUGGUGAAUAUCAAGAGUAGUGCUAGUAUCACAUAGGACCACCUUUCCAGCAACCUCUUUUGGAUCCAGCGCUGAACCUCUGCAUAUUGAUUUGUUUACCUUGCUUUUCCCAUAAUAUAGAGGUGAAUUGGUGAUGUAAAUGCUCUCUGGAAAGUAUGAUAUUCCUUCCACAGUUUCCCCAUUUCCCAGUUGCAGCGUUGACACAAAUUCCCGAUCAAUAGUGCCAGCUCCUACUGUUGUAAUCCAUGGUGCUCCAUUGACUAUUGAGUAAGCAUCUGAUCCAAAGUUUCUAGCAGCACAGAUGACGAAAAUUCCCCUCUCUGUCGCCAAAAGUGCUGCAAUGGCUAUGACAUCCUUGAAAUAAGGUGCCAGCCCAAGGACCAAAGACAAGGACAAGAUAUCUACCCCGUCCACAAUUGAUUGGUCCAUGGUAGCCAGUAAGUCGCUCGCAGCAAUGUUGCGAAGUGUGUCUGCCCAGCCAACCUUGUACAUGGCAAUACGUGCUCUUGGUGCCACCCCUUUGGCUGUCCCACUGGCGUAACCAAAAUGACUCGCACCGUGUACAUAAUUACCUGCAGCUGUAGAUGAUGUGUGAGUUCCAUGUCUAGAGAAAUCUCGUGCUGAUUCGAAGUCACGGUUCUUGGAGAUUCUUCCACCUGCAUCCAUAAGUACUUUGCUAAAAGAUCGAGCUCCAAUCAGCAUCAUGUUGCAGAGAGAAUGGGUAAAAGUUGUACCAUUCUCACACGUCCCUUUCCAUCUAACUGGAACCGGUGACAUCCCCUUGUCCUUAAAGCUCUCAUUUUCAGGCCAUAUUCUUGUGUCGACCAUAUGAUCACGUUUUUGCCGUAAAAUGCAGUAGGUCAUAUGCCAGCGGUAUGACUUAGGCUAAGAAACUUAGGCGAGUGGGUUGUGAAGAGCUUCCCUAAGGAUUUCAUAUGUCGCCAAAUGAGAAGGGAGCUUCUCCAGCUGAGAUAGUUAAGAUGGCGUGAGCCGUGCACUAAACCCAUGCAUGGCAUGGCUGUAGGAGUAGACCAACUUCUCUUUUUCAUCGGAGCGAUAUGGUGGCAACGACUGUGGGAUGUUUUGGUGCCAUAACUCUUCAGUUGUAAAAAUUUCUGGUUUGUGGGAAUGGUCCAUGUGUAUGAUGUAAGUUUGGUAUUCUUCAAGUUUGGAUGACACUUUGUUGAGCUCAGGUAACAAGAACAACAAUAGGUAGAAAAUUAUUGUGCGGCGUAAAAAGUUUCCUAUCUCGUUGAAAUGGAUUUGUUUAGCUAUGGUAGCUAUAGCAAUGAAAUGAAAUGAAGUUUCCUAUCUCGUUGAAAUCCCCCUCUCUGUCGCUGAAAGUGCUGCAAUGGCUAUGACAUCCUUGAAAUAAGGUUCCGCCCAAGGCCCAAAGACAAGGACAAGAUAUCUACCCCGUCCACAAUUGAUUGGUCCAUGGCAGCCAGUAAGUCGCUCGCAACAAUGUUGUGAAGUGUGUCUGCCCAGCCAACCUUGUACAUGGUAAUACGUGCUCUUGGUGCCACCCUUUUGGCUGUCCCAAAUGCGUAACCAAAAUGACUCGCACCGUGUACCUAAUUACCUGCAACUGUAAAUGAUGUGUGAGUUCCAUGUCCAGAGAAAUCUCGUGCUGAUUCGAAGUCACGAUCCUUGGAGAUUCUUCCACCUGCAGCCACAAGUACUUUGCUAAAAGAUCGAGCUCCAAUCAACUUCCUGUUGCAGAGAGAAUGGGUAAAAGCUGUAUCAUUCUCACACAUCCCUUUCCAUCUAGCUGGAACCAGUGACAUCCCCUUGUCCUUAAAGCUCUCACUUUCAGGCCAUAUUCCUGUGUCGACCCUAUGAUCACGUUUUUGCCGUAAAAUGCAGUAGGUCAUAUGCCAACGAUAUGACUUAGGCCAAGAAACUUAGGCGAGUGGGUUGUGAAGAGCUUUCCGAAGGACUCUUCAUAUGUCGCCAAAUGAGAAGGGAGCUUCUCCAGCUGAGAUAGUUGAAACGGCGUGAGCCGUGCACUAAACCCAUGCAUGACAUGGCUGUAUGAGUAGACCAACUUCUCUUUGUUAUCGGAGCGAUAUGGUGGCAACGACUGUAGGAUGUUUUGGUGCCAUAAUUCUUCAGUUGCAAAAAUUUUUGGUUUGUGGGAAUGGUCCAUAUGUAUGAUGUAAGUUUGGUAUUCUUCAGGUUUGGAUGACACUUUUUUGAGCCCAGGUAACAAGAACAACACUAGGUAGAAAAUUAUUGUGUGGCGUAAAAAGUUUCCUAUCUCGUUGAAAUGGAUUUGUUUAGCCAUGGUAGUUAUAGCAAUGGAAUGAAGUGGGAAUGUGGGAUAGUUUUUUCAACUUGCAGAUUUAUCCUACUUAUAUAGUGCAGUCAGGAGUGUGAGCACAUUGGAAUCCAAUAUAUGUGUAUAUAUAAAUACAUAUUUGUGGUGACCCUUUAGGAUUUAUGCUCAUGAUUUUGACAGCCAACAGAUUUUUAUUUGAUUUUCCUCUCAAUAAGUUUGUCAUUUAAUGACUUUAAAUAUGAAAUCGAUCCUAAAUUUGGUAUUGUUCUGUGUUCUACGUAUUCUGACCAUUCUAAAUUUAUUUUGUUACAACAUACAAGUCUAGAGACUUUCCGUUACCCUUUUUGAUAUUAUAGUAACGGUUUCCAAUUUCCAUUUUUGAUAUCAUAUCAAUAACAUCAUAAUGUUUAUUUUAUUAUAUAUUUUAGAUUUAAAAUAUGGGGUUCCCUCCAUGCUUCUGCAGAUCAGCACAGAACCUGCACAAGAAAUUGUCCGGGCAAAAGAGGUUGCUGGAAAAUCUGCACAAAACCUACAUAAAGGGAAUGUAUAAGAAUAUGAUGAGUCAGCAUCUGCUUCUAAAGUUGUCAAUGUGUCCGUCAGUAAUAUUCCGGCAUAUGCACGACAAUUUCAUCGAUCUGCUGGUCAAUAUCAAGAGUAGUGUUAGUAUCACAUAGGACCAUCUUUCCAGCAACCUCUUUUGGAUCCAGCGUUGAACCUCUGCAUAUUGAUUUGUUUACCUUGCUUUUCCCAUAAUAUAAAGGUGAAUUGGUGAUGUAAAUGCUCUCUGGAAAGUAUGAUAUUCCUUCCACAGUUUUCCCAUUUCUCAGUUGCAGCGUUGACACAAAUUCCCGUUCAAUAGUGCCAGUUCCUACUGUUGUAAUCUAUGGUGCUCCAUUGACUAUUGAGUAAGCAUCUGGUCCAAAAUUUUCAGCAGCACAGAUGACGGAAAUCUCCCUCUCUAUCGCUGAAAAUGCUGCAAUGGCUAUGACAUCCUUGAAAUAAGGUGCCCGCCCAAGGCCCAAAGACAAGGACAAGAUAUCUAUCCCGUCCACAAUUGAUUGGUCUAUGGCAGCCAGUAAGUCGCUCGCAACAAUGUUGCGAAGUGUGUCUGCCCAGCCAACCUUGUACCUGGCAAUACGUGCUUUUGGUGCCACCCCUUUGGUUGUCCCAUUAGCGUAACCAAAAUGACUCGUACCGUGUACAUAAUUACCUGCAGCUGUAGAUGAUGUGUGAGUUCCAUGUCCAGAGAAAUCUCGUGCUGAUUCGAAGUCACGGUCCUUGGAGAUUCUUCCACUUGCAGCCACAAGUCAUUUGCUAAAAGAUCGAGCUCCAAUCAGCUUCCUGUUGCAGAAAGAAUGGGUAAAAGCUGUAACAUUCUCACAUGUCCCUUUCCAUCUAGCUGGAACCUGUGACAUCCCUUUGUCCUUAAAGCUCUCACUUUUCAGGCCAUAUUCCUGUGUCGACCCUAUGAUCACGUUUUUGCCGUAAAAUGUAGUAGGUCAUAUGCCAACGGUAUGACUUAGGCCAAGAAACUUAAGCGAGUGGAUUGUGAAGAGCUUCCCGAAGGAGUCUUCAUAUGUUGCCAAAUAAGAAGGGAGCUUCUCCAGCUGAGAUAGUUGAGACGACAUGAGCCAUGCACGAAACCCAUGCAUGGCAUAGCUGUAUGACUAGACCAACUUCUCUUUGUCAUCGGAGCGAUAUGGUGGCAACGACUGUAGGAAGUUUUGGUGUCAUAACUCUUCAGUUGUAAAAAUUUCUGGUUUGUGGGAAUGGUCCAUGUGUAUGAUGUAAGUUUGGUAUUCUUCAGGUUUAGACGACACAUUGUUGUGCCCAAGUAACAAGAACAACACUAGGUAGAAAAUUAUUGUGCAGCGUAAAAAGUUUCGUAUCCCGUUGAAAUGGAUUUGUUUAGCCAUGGUAGCUAUAGCAAUGAAAUGAAGUGGGAAUGUGGGAUAGUUUUUUCAACUUGCAGAUUUAUCCUACUUAUAUAGUGGAGUCAGGAGUGUGAGCACAUUGGAAUCCAAUAUAUGUGUAUAUAUAAAUACAUAUUUGUGGGGACCCUUUAGGAUUUAUGCUUAUGAUUUUAACUGCUAACAUAUUUUUAUUUGAUUUUCCUCUCAAUAAGUUUGUAAUUUAAUGACCUUAAAUAUGAAACCGAUCCUAAAUUUGGUAUUGUUUUGUGUUUUACGUAUUCUGACCAUGCUAAAUUUAUUUUGCUACAGUAUAUAAGUCUAAAGACUUUCCCUUUCCCUUAUUGAUAUUAUAGUAAUGAUUUCCACUUUCCCUUUUUGAUAUCAUAUCAAUAACAUCAUAAUGUUUAUUUUAUAAUAUAUUUUAGAUUUAUAAUAUCAAGUUCCCUCAAUGCUUCUGCAGAUCAGCACAAAACCUUCACAAGAAAUUGUCAGGGCAAAAGAGGUUGCUGGAAAACCUGCACGAAACCUGCAUGGAGGGAAUGUAUAAGAAUAUGAUGAGUCAGCAAUUACUUCUAAAGUUGCCAAUGUGUCCGUCAGUAAUAUUCCGUCCCUUUCCAUCUCGCUGGAACAAGUGACAUCCCCUUGUCCCUAAAGCUCUCACUUUCUGGCCAUAUUCUUGUGUCGACUAACCCUAUGAUCACGUUUUUGCCGUAAGAUGCAGUAGGCCAAAUGCCAACGGUAUGACUUAGGCCAAGAAACUUAGGCGACGAGUGGAUUGUGUAGAGCUUCCCGAAGGACUCUUCAUAUGUCGCCAAAUAAGAAGGGAGCUUCUCCAGCUGAGAUAGUUGAGAUGGCGUGAGCCGUGCACUAAACCCAUGCAUGGCAUGGCUGUAUGAGUAGAGUAACUUCUUUUUGUCAUCGGAGCGAUAUGGCGGCAGCGACUGUAGGAUGAUUUGGUGCCAUAACUCUUCUGUUAUAAAAAUUUCUGGUUUGUGGGAAUGGUCAAUAUGUAUGAUGUAAGUUUGGUAUUCUUCAGGUUUGGACGACACUUUGUUGAGCCCAGGUAACAAGAACAACACUAGGUAGAAAAUUAUUGUGUGGCGUAAAGAGUUUCUUAUCUCGUUGAAAUGGAUUUGUUUAGCCAUGGUAGCUAUAGUAAUGAAAUGAAGUGGGAAUGUGGGAUAGUUUUUUCAACUUGCAAAUUUAUUCUACUUAUAUAGUGGAAUCAGGAGUGUGAGCACAUUGGAAUCCAAUAUAUGUGUAUAUAUAAAUACAUAUUUGUGGGGACCCUUUAGGAUUUAUGCUUAUGAUUUUAACUGCUAACAUAUUUUUAUUUGAUUUUCCUCUCAAUAAGUUUGUAAUUUAAUGACCUUAAAUAUGAAACCGAUCCUAAAUUUGGUAUUGUUCUGUGUUCUACGUAUUCUGACCAUGCUAAAUUUAUUUUGCUACAGCAUACAAGUCUAAAGAAUUUCCCUUUCCCUUUUUGAUAUUAUAGUAAUGGUUUCCACUUUCCCUUUUUGAUAUCAUAUUAAUAACAUCAUAAUGUUUAUUUUAUAAUAUAUUUUAGAUUUAUAAUAUCGAGUUCCCUCCAUGCUUCUGCAGAUCACCACAAAACCUGCACAAGAAAUUGUCAGGGCAAAAGAGGUUGCUGAAAAACCUGCACAAAACCUGCAUAGUGGGAAAGUAUAAGAAUAUGAUGAGUCAGCAUCUGCUUCUAAAGUUGCCAAUGUGUCCGUCAAUAAUAUUUCGGCAUAUGCACGAUAAUUUCAUCGAUCUGCUGGUCAAUAUCAAGGGUAGUGCUAGUAUCACAUAGGACCACCUUUCCAGCAACCUCUUUUGGAUCCAGCGCUGAACUUCUAUAUAUUGAUUUGUUUACCUUGCUUUUCCCAUAAUAUAGAGGUGAAUUGGUGAUGUAAAUGCUCUCUAGAAAGUAUGAUAUUCCUUCCACAGUUUUCCCAUUUUCCAGUUGCAGCGUUGACACAAAUUUUCGAUCAAUAGUGCCAGCUCCUAAUGUUGUAAUCCAUGGUGCUCCAUUGACUAUUGAGUAAGCAACUGGUCCAAAAUUUCCAGCAGCACAGAUGACGGAAAUCCCCCUCUCUGUCGCUGAAAGUUCUGCAAUGGCUAUGACAUCCUUGAAAUAAGGUUCCCGCCCAAGGCCCAAAGACAAGGACAAGAUAUCUACCCCGUCCACAAUUGAUUGGUCCAUGGCAGCCAGUAAGUCGCUUGCAACAAUGUUGUGAAGUGUGUCUGCCCAGCCAACCUUGUACAUGGUAAUACGUGCUCUUGGUGCCACCCUUUUGGCUGUCCCAAUUGCGUAACCAAAAUGACUCGCACCGUGUACCUAAUUACCUGCAACUGUAAAUGAUGUGUGAGUUCCAUGUCCAGAGAAAACUCGUGCUAAUUCGAAGUCACGGCCCUUGGAGAUUCUUCCACCUGCAGCCACAAGUACUUUGCUAAAAGAUCGAGCUCCAAUCAGCUUCCUGUUGCAGAGAGAAUGGGUAAAAGCUGUAUCAUUCUCACUCGUCCCUUUUCAUCUAACUGGAACCGGUGACAUCCCCUUAUCCUUAAAGCUCUCACUUUCAGGCCUUAUUCCUGUGUCAACCCUAUGAUCACGUUUUUGCCGUAAAAUGCAGUAGGUCAUAUGCCAGCGGUAUGACUUAGGCCAAGAAACUUAGGCGAGUGGGUUGCGAAAAGCUUCCCGAAGGACUCUUCAUAUGUCGCUAAAUGAGAAGGGGGCUUCUUCUGCUGAGAUAGUUUAGACGGCGUGAGCCGUGCACUAAACCCAUGCAUGGCAUGGCUGUAUGAGUAGACCAACUUCUCUUUGUCAUCGGAGCGAUAUGGUGGCAACGACUGUAGGAUGUUUUGGUGCCAUAACUCUUCAGUUGAAAAAAUUUCUGGUUUGUGGGAAUGGUCCAUGUGUAUGAUGUAAGUUUGGUAUUAUUCAGGUUUGGACGACACUUUGUUGAGCCUAGGUAACAAGAACAACACUAGGUAGAAAAUUAUUGUGCCGCGUAAAAAGUUUCCUAUCUUGUUGAAAUGGAUUUGUUUAGCCAUCGUAGCUAUAACAAUGAAAUAAAAUGAAAUUUCCUAUCUCAUUGAAAUCCCCCCUGUCGCGGAAAGUGCUGCAAUGGCUAUGACAUCCUUGAAAUAAGGUACCCGCCCAAGGCCUAAAAACAAGGACAAGAUAUAUAUCCCGUCCACAAUUGAUUGGUCCAUGGCAGCUAGUAAGUCGCUCGCAGCAAUGUUGCAAAGUGUGUCUGCCUAGCCAACCUUGUACAUGGCAAUACGUCCUCUUGGUGCCACCCCUUUGGUUGUCGCACUGGCGUAACCAAAAUGACUCGCACCGUGUACAUAAUUACCUGCAGCUAUAGAUGAUGUGUGAGUUCCAUGUCCAGAGAAAUCUCGUGCUGAUUCGAAGUCACGGUUCUUGGAGAUUCUUCCACCUGCAGCCACAAGUCCUGUGCUAAAAGAUCGAGCUCCAAUCAGCUUCAUGUUGCAAAGAGAAUGGGUAAAAGCUGUACCAUUCUCACAUAUCCCUUUCCAUCUCGCUGGAACCAGUGACAUCCCCUUGUCCCUAAAGCUAUCACUUUCUGGCCAUAUUCUUGUGUCGACUAACCCUAUGAUCACGUUUUUGCUAUAAGAUGCAGUAGGCCAAAUGCCAACGGUAUGACUUAGGCCAAGAAACUUAGGCAACGAGUGGGUUGUGAAGUGCUUCCCGAAGGACUCUUCAUAUGUCGCCAAAUUAGAAGGGAGCUUCUCCAGCUGAGAUAGUUGAGACGGCGUGAGCCGUGCUCUAAACCCAUGCAUGGCAUUGGCUGUAUGAGUAGACCAACUUCUCUUUGUCAUCGGAGCGAUAGUUGUACCUGUAGGAUGUUUUGGUGCCAUAACUCUUCAGUUUUAAAAUUUUCAGGUUUGCGUCCAUGUGUGUGAUGUAAGUUUGGUAUUCUUCAGGUUUGGACGACACUUCGUUGAGCCUAGGUAACAAGAACAACAUUAGGUAGAAAAUUAUUGUGCGGCGUCAAAAGUUUUCUAUCUCGUUGAAAUGGAUUUGUUUAGCCAUGGUAGCUAUAGCAAUGAAAUGAAGUGGAAAUGUGGGAUAGUUUUUUCAACUUGCAGAUUUAUCCUACUUAUAUAGUGGAGUCAGGAGUGUGAGCACAUUGGAAUCCAAAAUAUGUGUAUAUAUAAAUACAUAUUUGUGGAGACCCUUUAGGAUUUAUGCUAAUGAUUUUGACUGCUAACAUAUUUUUAUUUGAUUUUCCUCUCAAUAAGUUUAUCAUUUAAUGACCUUAAAUAUGAAAUUGAUCCUAAAUUUGGUAAAGUUCUGUGUUCUACGCAACGCAUUCUGACCAUGCUAAAUUUAUUUUGCUACAACAUACAAGUCUAGAGACUUUCCUUUUCCCUUUUUGAUAUUGUAGUAAUGGUUUCCACUUUCCCUUUUUGAUAUCAUAUCAAUAAUAUCAUAAUGUUUAUUUUAUAAUAUAUUUUAGAUUUAUAAUAUCGAGUUCCCUCCAUGCUUCUACAGAUCAGCACAAAACCUGCACAAGAAAUUGUCAAGGCAAAAGAGGUCG
rnacentral:lncRNA from 1 species